rnacentral:rRNA from 1 species
AUUGAACGCUGGCGGCAGGCAUAACACAUGCAAGUCGAACGAGUGGCGGACGGGUGAGUAAUGUCUGGGAAACUGCCCGAUGGAGGGGGAUAACUACUGGAAACGGUAGCUAAUACCGCAUACCAUCGGAUAUGCCCAGAUGGGCUUAGCUUGUAGGUGAGGUAACGGCUCACCUAGGCGAUGAUCCCUAUCUGGUCUGAGAGGACGACCAGCAACACUUGAAAUGAGAAACGGGCCAGACGCCGAGGGGAGGAAGCAGUGGGGAAGAGUGCACAAUGGGCUCAAGCGUGAUGAAGCCAUGCCGGGGGUAGGAAGAAGGACUUAGGGUUGUAAAGUAAUUGCAGCGGGGAGGCGUUACCCGUAGAAGAAGAACCGGCUAACGCCGUGACAGCAGCCGCGGUAAUAC